UGUGCCUUUUCUUUUUUGGCAUUCUUCACUUCCUCCUCUAUUCGCUUUUUCUCCUUCUUCCUCUUUUUUUUCUCUUCCUCCUUCUUUUUGGCAUUUCUUAUUUGUUCCUCUAUUUUCUCCGUUAUUCAUCUAUUCCAUCACUUUCAGUUGCUUCGUAAGUUCCUUUUCCUCAAUCUUUCGGUGAUUGUCUUUUUAUUUCAAUUUACUUCCUAUAGUCGACAGUUCAUUUUCCUGUUCUUUCAAACGAAUUCAAAUCUCUCCUCCACGUCAUUUUUCUUCCCUUUCCUUUUGUAGCAGCACUUUUUUGAGAAAAGUCGAUCAAAGAAUGAGAGAACCGCCAUCUGUUCUCAAGAAUAUUAUUGUCCACUUCGAUCAAUUCAAUUGUUUUCACCGUUACGAAGCAACAACGAAACAAUAAACAAAAAGAACAACAUAUCAACAGCAGCAGCUCAAAAUGACUAAACCACUCGAACGAGCAGCACACAUUCAGCAUCGACUGACUAGAAAGAAGUCGAAAGAUGAUUUGCCUCGAAGUGGCUUUGACUGAUGAAAUAGAAGCUAGCAUUUGAACGGCAAGAAAGAAACCAAUGAAUGCAAAAAGAAACUAACAAAAGCCGAACUUGAAGAAGACACUUAAGAUAGUGCUGCUGCAAAAGGGGAGGGAAGAAAAAGAACGAGAUCGGGAGGCUCGGAUUCGUUUGAAACUACAUCAAAAAGAAUGGUCGGCUAUAGAAAUUAAUUAAAACACUAGGACGAACAGCGAAGAAUUGGGAAAAAUGAGCUUACAAAGGAACUGUAAGUGGAGGAAAAGACCAGAACAGAGAAAACAGAGGAACAAAUGGGAAAGGCCAACAAGAAGGGGCAAGAGAAAAAUGCGAGGAAGGAGGAGAGAAAAGGAAUGGGAGAGGUAUAAAAGAAUGCGAGAAAUGAGAAGGCACUAAAGCGAGUGACAUCUUCUUGGAAUCAUUGAAAAAUUUCCCAACACAGUUAAUAACACUACAUCAGCAAACAAAAGAAACGUUUUGAUGGAAAGAAUAAAUACAACCAACAAUUGAUGAUUUGCAAGUAGCUUCACUGAAUGAUGGACUAAGGUGAAGGAUAUAUUUACUGGCAUUGUACCACAAGAGUCGGACGAAAUGGGUCUUGGCAAAACGUUCAAGGGAUCGCAUUAAUCUCGUACCAGCUGCAAAGUGAAAUGUCCCCAGCUCAUACAGGAUAGUCAACCACAGUGAUUCCAAACUGGAUUAACGAGUUAGUGCUUCGCUGAUUCGCCACCGAAACUCCUAUUGUUGAUUUUCCCGACGGGACGACGAGCCAAGCCUAAGAUCACCACGUUCUGUAAAGUUGGAGAACAUGUUGUCCCUGUUUACAGUUUUAAUGGUAUUAACAAAAAGGAGUAUUUUUCACUGUUCCCGAGAAGAUAUUUCAUUCCUGCGCCUUUUCUUUUUUGGCAUUCUUCACUUCCUCCUCUAUUCGCUUUUUCUCCUCCUUCCUCUUUUUUUUCUCUUCCUCCUUCUUUUUGGCAUUUCUUAUUUGUUCCUCUAUUUUCUCCGUUACUCAUCUAUUCCAUCACUUUCAGUUGCUUCCUAAGUUCUUUUUCCUCAAUCUUUCGGUGAUUGUCUUUUUGUUUCAAUUUACUUCCUAUAGUCGACAGUUCAUUUUCCUGUUCUUUCAAACGAAUUCAAAUCUCUCCUUCACGUCAUUUUUCUUCCCUUUCCUUUUGUACCAGCACUUUUUUAAGAAAAGUCGAUCAAAGAAUGAGAGAACCGCCAUCUGUACUCAAGAAUAUUAUUGUCCACUACGAUCAAUUCAAUUGUUUUCACUGUUACAAAGCAACAACGAAACAAUAAACAAAAAGAACAACAUAUCAACAGCAGCAGCUCAAAACGACUAUACCAUUCGAACCAGCAGUACAUAUUCAGCAUCGACUGACUAGAAAGAAGUCAAAGAUGAAUUGCCUUGAAGUGACUUUGACUGAUGAAAUAGAAGCUAGCAUUACAACGGCAAAAAAAUAACCAAUAGAUGCAAAAAGAAACUAACGAAACCCUAACUUGAAGAAGACACUUAAGAUAGUGCUGCUGCAAAAGGGGAGGGAAGAAAAAGAACGAGAUCGGGAGGCUCGGAUUCGUUUGAAACUACAUCAAAAAGAAUGGUCGGCUAUAGAAAUUAAUUAAAACACUAGGACGAACAGCGAAGGAUUGGGAAAAUUGAGCCUACAAAGAAACUGUAAGUGGAGGAAAAGACCAGAACAGAGAAAACAGAGGAACAAAUGGAAAAGGCCAAGAAGGGGCAAGAGAAAAAUGCGAGGAAGAAGGAGAGAAAAGGAAUGGGAGAGGAAUAAAAGAAUGCAAGAAAUGAGAAGGCACUAAAGGGAUUGAUAUCUUCUUGGA